AGCCUGAACGCUGGCGGCGUGGCUAAGACAUGCAAGUCGAACGGAUGUAGCAAUACAUCAGUGGCGGACGGGUGAGUAAUGAAUCGCUAACGUACCCCGGAGCCUGGGAUAGCUGCCCGAAAGGGCAGGUAAUACCAGAUGAGACCACGAACAGGCAUCUGUUUGUGCUCAAAGCAGCAAUGCACUCUGGGAGCGGGCGAUUUCGAUCAGCUAGUUGGUGGGUAGCGGCUCACCAAGGCGACGACGCGUAACCGGACGUGAGAGGUUGGCCGGUCACAUUGGGACUGAGACACUGCCAGACUCCUACGGGGGGCUGCAGUAACGAACUCUUCCGACAAUGCACGAAAGUGUGACGAGCGACGCCGCGUGUAGGACGAACGCCCGUUGGGUGUAAACUACGUGUCGAAGGGAAAGAAA
rnacentral:rRNA from 1 species